ensembl:lncRNA
AUAAAGCAGGCUUUCGGCUAAGCACUUACCUAAUAACACAGAUCUCCAGGUGAUGCCAUUGCACCACCAAGGUGGAGAACCAGUGCCAGUCGCGGCUUUAGUUCGAGAAGCUUCACUACCUCCUCAUGAGGAGGAAGCAAGUCAGUGUCACUGAACUGCGUUCUGUCGCCCUUCACCCCACAGGACUCGGUUCGAGAUGUUAAUGGUUGCUGUCCAUCAUGCUGAGUGGUCCCAGGCCAUCAGAUUAAGCUGAGGCAUCUGGAAACACCACAUCUGAACAUCGGUUUUAUGACACCCAGCAAGGAGCCUUCUUUUAUCGUAAUACCUAAAAGUUUCUGAGCCAAGAGGCCACUGCCUGAUAAACUUUGCAGAAACAUCACCUGGAAUUAAGAGAAGAAAUUUCCUUCCAGAACAAAGACCCCAAAGGAAAAAGCAACUCAAUUCAUGAAGGAUGUAAAUAAACACACCCUAAAUUUUCAGGGAGCAUCUUUGGGUAGAUUUUUUUUUCUCUUGUCACCUAAGCAUUUUACAAGUUCUGCUGACUUUCUAGAUCAAGUGGAAACAAAAAAUACCAUUCUUCAUUUUUACAGUCACAUCCACUUAUAUGGAUAGCACCAUGGGAUGGGCAGAACUCUGAGCUUAGGACACUGUUGUUUGUGUGUUAGUUGCUCAGUCGUGUCCGACUGUUUGUGACCCUAUGGAAUAUAGCCUGCCAGGCUCCUCUUUCCAUGGAAUUCUCCAGGCAAAAAUACUGGAAUAGGUUGCCAUUUCCUUCUCUAGGGGAUCUUCCCGACCCAGGGAUCGAACCCUGGUCUCCUGCAAUCCAGGCAGAUUCUUUACCACUGAGCCACCAGGGAAGCCAAGAUGCAUUGAGAAUAACCCAAAAUGCCCUUGGGCUUCCUAGGUGGCUCAGUGGUGAAGAACCCGCUUGCCAAGCAGGAGACGUGGGUUUGGUCCCCGGGUCAGGAAGAUUACCUGGAGAAGGAAAUGGCAACCUACUCCAGUAUUCUUGCCUGGGAAAUCCCAUGGACAGAGGAGCCUGGCAGGCUACAGUCCAUGGGGUCACAGAGUUGGACAUGACUUAGCAACUAAAUAGUACAGUAGCAGAAAUGCCCUAAAUUACACUGUUCCCUUCCACUGCCAGAAAUUAAAAAUUUAAAAAAAAGAAGAAGAAAAAAAAAAAAGAAACCUGGAAACCCUACAUACUUAAUUUCCUCCUUGUGUUAAGGACUUUUGGUUAUUUUUCAAUUUUUUCUUUCAGUUUUAUUGAGAUAUAAUUGCCAUAUAGCACUGUAUAAGUUUACUGUGUAUAGCAUAAAGAUUUGACUUACAUUAAGAAACAAACAUCUUCAAGUUAUUGCAUUUCUUCAUUAUUUUAAUGAACUAAGCAAGGUAAAAUUGAGUUAUCUCUAUGAAACCCUCUCUGAUCUAUGUCUGUUUUUAUAAUUGUACUGAGUAUUUUUAUUAAUAAAUGUUCUAAACUAUUCUGAUAUGUUAAAAUAUAUUUAUUCAUUUCACUUGCAUGUAUGAGAUUAGACUUCUCAGGGAAAAGGUAUGAACAUCUUUAACUUGAGAAAUGUGGCCAGAUUGGAAAUACUGCAGAUAAUGGGGUUGUACCAUUUUCUCCCACUUAUUUCUGUACUUUCUAUUUCUUAAAGAUUCCAUACUUUAUAUUAAAAAGUAUAUUUCUUAGCCUUAUUGUUUGCCUUUUGAAAGUACUGUUAUGAGGUUUUUGGGUAUUUUGAAAUUUUCUCUUUUCCCUUGAUUUUCAAUAAUAUGAUGAUAAUGGGUCUCAGGGUGUUCUUUGUACUUCAUGAGAAUCGCUGCUCACAGAAUCUG